UACGAAGGGGGCUAGCGUUGCUCGGAAUUACUGGGCGUAAAGGGCGCGUAGGCGGCACUGUUAGUCAGGCGUGAAAGUCCUGGGCUCAACCUGGGAACUGCGCUUGAUACGGCAGAGCUAGAGGAUGGAAGAGGCUCGCGGAAUUCCCAGUGUAGAGGUGAAAUUCGUAGAUAUUGGGAAGAACACCGGUGGCGAAGGCGGCGAGCUGGUCCAUUACUGACGCUGAGGCGCGACAGCGUGGGGAGCAAACAGG
rnacentral:rRNA from 2 species